UACGUAGGGUGCAAGCGUUGUCCGGAAUUAUUGGGCGUAAAGAGCUCGUAGGCGGCUUGUCGCGUCGUCCGUGAAAACUUGGGGCUCAACCCCAAGCUUGCGGUCGAUACGGGCAGGCUCGAGUUCGGUAGGGGAGACUGGAAUUCCUGGUGUAGCGGUGAAAUGCGCAGAUAUCAGGAGGAACACCGGUGGCGAAGGCGGGUCUCUGGGCCGAUACUGACGCUGAGGAGCGAAAGCGUGGGGAGCGAACAGG
rnacentral:rRNA from 1 species